UCGCAUUAAUAAAAACACACAAUAAUUUCUGAAAGAUUAUUUGUGGGAUAGUUUUGUUAAUUUUGUGUAUAUAAAUAAACUAUAGAUGUAAAUGCUCAAUAAAGUAUAAUUUGUCCAAAGGCUUGUAUAUAAAGUCGUUGAAACCAUGAGAUUGCUCCAAGAAAUUAUUUUUGCAUAAUCCACAAAAACUGGGUCCCACAAAAAUACUGAAUUAAAAGUAUAUCUAGCAUAUCAAAAUACAGGUUUCAAACAGAAGUUGAUGUAACAAAACAAAUAAAGAAUAUGAAUAAUUAUAACAUAAUGUGUUGUUGUUCCCCUUAAAAACUAAUCUAAGUGCUUAAUGCCCUGAAAUUAUUGAUUGAAAAAAAUAAAAAUAUUGUCCUGUCAGAACAGAUAGUUAUGAUCAUUGACACUUUUUUUUUAUUUAGACAUGCAGCACUUUGAUAUAAUUAUUUACAUUCUUUUCCAAGGAUACAUGUACAUGAUGUAUGCAAGCUAGGCUCUGUUAUAUCUUUAUAAAUAAUACUUGAAAUUGGGUACAGUGAAGAACCUCUUCUCACUGGUCUAAACCAAUUUAGCCUAGACUUUCCUUAAGGUGGUACCUAACACUACAGGGAGAUAACUCUGUAAAAUCAGCUAAACGUUUUAAUUACGUUGUGUUGUUAAGGGAAUAUUAAGCUUAUCAAUGAUCAAAAUUAGUGUUUGUCAAACUGCUAUAUAACCAGUGUAAUUUUUUUGAUAAAAUAGUUGGUUCAAAUGUUUUGAAAUUUUUAUAUUUUUGUCAAGAGGUCAAAGUAAAUACUUUGUCAAAAUUUUAUGAAUAUUAAACAAGCCAAAUUAAUUUUAGUGAAAGUGUUGGGUACCACCUUAAUAGCCAACAAACCUUUGAAAUGAUAUAUACAGACAAUAUACAGAAAACUGAUGUAAGUGAUUAGGCAACAAAAAAUCAGAACUUUCUACUGUAGUUUUAUUUAUUUUCUUGGGUACCAAUUUUGUGGACUGAUGAAAAAUUAGCCUUUCUUCAGAUAUUUGAUUUCAUUAUUUUGUCAAAAGUCUGCAUUCAGAGCCUACAGAAAAUUUCUAUUUAGUGACAUUUGAAUUUGUGAUUUACUUGUGUCCACAAAAUACAUUAAAAUUUCAAUCCUGGACUUAAUAAUGAAUAAAAAGAAUAUGAUAAACUAUACUUCCUUAUUG
rnacentral:lncRNA from 1 species